rnacentral:rRNA from 1 species
AUGGACGAGGAGAGGACGGAGGCGUGGUGGGCCCGCCGCGCGUGGGCGCUGCUGUCGGCCGUCCGCGAGCGGGCGCCGCUAGUUCAGUGCAUCACCAACCUCGUCUCCAUGGACAUCGCCGCCAACGCCCUCACCGCCGCCGGCGCCUCCCCCGCCAUGCUCCACAGCCUCCGCGAGAUCCCCGACUUCACCCCACGCUGCGACGCAGUCUACAUCAACGUCGGAACGCUCUCGGAGGACUGGCUCCCCUCCAUGCGCGCCGCCGCCUCCGCCGGCCGCCCCUGGGUGCUCGACCCCGUCGCCGCCGCCGCCUCCGGCUUCCGGAUGGAGGCCUGCCUCCAGCUCCUCUCGCGCUCCGCCCCGCCGUCGUCAGGGGCAACGCGUCCGAGAUCCUCGCCCUCGCCUCGAGCUCAGAUAACUCCUCCUUCAAGAAAACAGAGAAGGACAGUACUAUGGAAGAAACACAAAGGAAAGGGACAACAAAAUGAGCAAUGUGCUAAUACUUGUGGCCAACUGCAGGGUGUGGACAGUUCACAUGACUCAGGGGAGGCCCUGCAAGCCGCGAAAGCAUUGGCACGGUCCAGCGGGGCAGUAGUCGCAGUAUCUGGAGCAGUUGAUUUCAUCACGGAUGGUGAGCAGGUCAUCAGUGCUAGCAAUGGUGUGGCAAUGAUGCAGAAGAUCACGGCGACAGGGUGUGCUGUGACUGCUCUUAUAGCGGCUUUUGUCGGGGCGGAUCCUUCCGAUGCUCUAGCCGCAGCGGCAUGUGCGCUCGCCAUCUUUGGACUUGCUGGAGAGAUAGGGAUGGAGUCAGUGAAGGGACCUGCCUCUCUCAGGAUGCAUCUCAUCGAUGCUCUCUACGGUCUCGACGAGUAG